AUAAACAGACCUUUAGAUACUAUCUCACUAUAUUAUACAUAUAAUAUACAGAGCUAUAAUUCUAGCUUAUUAUAAAGUACUAGUACCCAAAAGCGGGGUUUUAACAGUGCUCUGCCUCUGCAGGGGGAAUACAAAUUUAUAACAAAUGUCAUCCUUUUGAUGCCCAUUUGAACACAUGACAUAAAGACCAACACACAUGUAUUUUCAUAGGAUUAAAUUUAACCUAGAAAGCUGAUUAUUUCGACCCAGCCAUCUGGUUAAUUUAACAAUUCAACAAAAUUUUUAGUACGCUGGAAUUUAACAGUUGUAAAUUUUCAAAUUCCCGCAUAUUCCUGAGUUCAAUGUUUUGAUUGACUAGUGCUUUACUUGGGGUUAAAGAAAACUGUAUGCUUUUGGAAUACAGACAAUAUACUUUUGGGUUUUCUCACUAAUUUACCCUUAGGUAAACGGACUUGACCCAAGUCUAAGAAUAACCUAACUAUUUAGUUUGUCAUUAUGUGCUUAUAAUUCCCUGUUUCUUUAAUGCCUUUUACUGUAGCCCGAAUCUCUGCAUAAUGUUCUACUGUUCAGUGGACUAGUCCAAGAGUUGUAUCAUGAAUCGGUGGACAGGAAAUUGUCCCUGGUCAGCUUUUAUUUGAAAAGGUAUAUGUUAGCCUGUUUAAUGAAUGUUAAAGCUGGUUACAGAAGAGCAAGUUUUCUAUGACAAGUUAAUUUUUAUGUGACAAGCUUUUUUUGCUGCUCUGUACGUGCAACUUUGGCAAUUUUUUUCUAUGACAAGUGCACUUGUUCAAAAGCUAGCAUGCUAGCUUUUGAACAAGUGCACUUGUCAUAGAAAAAAUUGUCAAAGCGCAAAUUUUGU